GAUGAACGCUGGCGGCGUGCCUAAUACAUGCAAGUCGAGCGAACGGACGAGAAGCUUGCUUCUCUGAUGUUAGCGGCGGAAGGGUGAGUAACACGUGGAUAACCUACCUAUAAGACUGGGAUAACUUCGGGAAACCGUAGCUAAUACCGGAUAAUAUUUUGAACCGCAUGGUUCAAAAGUGAAAGACGGUCUUGCUGUCACUUAUAGAUGGAUCCGCGCUGCAUUAGCUAGUCGGUAAGGUAACGGCUUACCAAGGCAACGAUGCAUAGCCGACCUGAGAGGGUGAUCGGCCACACUGGAACUGAGACACGGUCCAGACUCCUACGGGAGGCAGCAGUAGGGAAUCUUCCGCAAUGGGCGAAAGCCUGACGGAGCAACGCCGCGUGAGUGAUGAAGGUCUUCGGAUCGUAAAACUCUGUUAUUAGGGAAGAACAUAUGUGUAAGUAACUGUGCACAUCUUGACGGUACCUAAUCAGAAAGCCACGGCUAACUACGUG
rnacentral:rRNA from 1 species